AAUCUCUGGGAAUGGGCAAAGAGACACUUUGGUGGUGGUGGUGUUUUUUAUAUUAGUCAGGGGCAGAGAGCAGAUGGCAAUCCUUUCUUCAUCGUAGCUUGAUGCCUGGCUUGGUGGCCAAACCUGUUUUAUGUCUAGGACACAUCA